rnacentral:rRNA from 1 species
AGCGAACGCUGGCGGCAGGCUUAACACAUGCAAGUCGAACGCCAUCUUCGGAUGGAGUGGCAGACGGGUGAGUAACGCGUGGGAACGUACCCUUUGGUUCGGAAUAUUCUCGGGAAACUGAGAGCAAUGCCGGAUAAGCCCUACGGGGGAAAGAUUUAUCGCCAAAGGAGCGGCCCGCGUCAGAUUAGGUAGUUGGUGGGGUAAAGGCCUACCAAGCCUACGAUCUGUAGCUGGUCUGAGAGGAUGAUCAGCCACACUGGGACUGAGACACGGCCCAGACUCCUACGGGAGGCAGCAGUGGGGAAUCUUGGACAAUGGGCGCAAGCCUGAUCCAGCCAUGCCGCGUGGAUGAUGAAGGCCUUAGGGUUGUAAAAUCCUUUCAACGGGGACGAUAAUGACGGUACCCGUAGAAGAAGCCCCGGCUAACUUCGUG